rnacentral:rRNA from 1 species
UACGAAGGGUGCAAGCGUUAAUCGGAAUUACUGGGCGUAAAGCGUGCGCAGGCGGCUUUGCAAGACAGAUGUGAAAUCCCCGGGCUCAACCUGGGAACUGCAUUUGUGACUGCAAGGCUAGAGUACGGUAGAGGGGAGUGGAAUUCCGCGUGUAGCAGUGAAAUGCGUAGAUAUGCGGAGGAACACCGAUGGCGAAGGCAGCUCCCUGGACCUGUACUGACGCUCAUGCACGAAAGCGUGGGGAGCGAACAGG